ensembl:rRNA 5S_rRNA 5S ribosomal RNA
GUCUACGGCCAUAUGACCCUGAAUGUGCACAAUCUUGUCUGAUCUCAGAAGCUAAGCAGGAUCUGCCCUGGUUAGUACUUGGAUGGGAGACCACCUGGGAAUACUGGGUACUGUAGGCU